rnacentral:misc_RNA from 1 species
GAUGAAGAACGUAGCGAAAUGCGAUAAGUAAUGUGAAUUACAGAAUUCAGUGAAUCAUCGAAUCUUUGAACGCACCUUGCGCUCCUUGGUAUUCCGAGGAGCAUGCCUGUUUGAGUGUCAUGAAAUUCUCAACCUUUCUGGCUUUUGCUAGUCAGGCUUGGAUUAUGGGAGCUGCUGGCUUUUGUAGUCGGCUCUUCUAAAAUGUAUUAGCAAGAUCAUUGCUGCUCAUCAUUGGUAUGAUAAUUAUCUAUAUCAUUGAGAGUCAGUUUCCUUUAUUGGAAGAUUUUGCUCCUAACGGUCUUUAGCAAGACAACAUUUGACGAUUUUGACCUCAAAUCAGGUAGGACUACCCGCUGAACUUAAGCAUAUCAAUAAGCGGAGGA